UAGCUCAGUUGGUAGAGUUCUUGCCUUGCAUGCACAAGGCCCUGGGUUCAAUUCCCAG
rnacentral:tRNA from 1 species